GACGAACGCUGGCGGCGUGCCUAAUACAUGCAAGUCGAACGCAGUGGGGACGGGUGAGUAACACGUGGGUAACCUCCCCAUCAGAGGGGAUAACACUUGGAAACAGGUGCUAAACCGAUACUGGUGUAUGGACCCGCGGUGCAUUAGCUAGUUGGUGAGGUAACGGCUCACCAAGGCAACGAUGCAUAGCGGGCUGGAGAGGGGGAUCGGCCACACUGGGACUGAGACACGGCCCAGAUUCCUACGGGAGGCAGCAGUAGGGAAUCUUCGGCAAUGGACGAAAGUCUGACCGAGCAACGCCGCGUGAGUGAAGAAGGUGUUCGGAUCGUAAAACUCUGUUGUUAGAGAAGCGGUAUCUAACCAGAAAGCAACGGCUAACUACGUGCCAGCAGCCGCGGUAAUAC
rnacentral:rRNA from 1 species